rnacentral:piRNA from 1 species
UCCCACAUUAACCACUAAUUAAGAAAAUGCC